rnacentral:tRNA from 1 species
GCCACGGUAGCUCAGUGGUAGAGCAACUGAUUCGUAAUCAGUAGGUCGAGAGUUCGAUUCUCUCUCGUGGCU